AUAUAAGGGGUGUUCCGGGCUUGCCUGGGACUAUGGCGAUAAACGCACCCAUAAUAAACGGCUCGGACCCGGGGGCGGUACCCGGCGACUCCACCAAACUUCCCGGCAUUGCGGGCGAUUGGGGUCGAAAUAGGAUCGACGAACGUCUAAAGGGGCCAGCUUUCGCUCGGUGAGCUACCACCGUUAUCGGUGCAAACGUACAGUUGCCAAUGACAACCGUGCUCCGGCAAUGGCUCUGGCUGCGUAAGCAGUUCGAGUCGCCGAAACUAAGUCCCUGCGCUUAGCCGCGUAGGGCGGGGUCCGCCGGAACCUGGCAACAGAAU
rnacentral:tmRNA from 1 species